UACGUAGGGGGCAAGCGUUGUCCGGAAUCAUUGGGCGUAAAGAGCGUGUAGGCGGCCAGAAAAGUCCGCUGUGAAAACUCGAGGCUCAACUUCGAGCUGUCGGUGGAAACUUUCUGGCUAGAGUCCGGAAGAGGAGAAUGGAAUUCCUGGUGUAGCGGUGAAAUGCGCAGAUAUCAGGAAGAACACCAAUGGCGAAGGCAGGCUACUGGACAGAAGGUGACGCUGAGGCGCGAAAGUGUGGGGAGCGAACCGG
rnacentral:rRNA from 1 species